rnacentral:rRNA from 1 species
AUAAUGGAGAGUUUGAUCCUGGCUCAGGACGAACGCUGGCGGCAUGCCUAAUACAUGCAAGUCGAGCGGAACGUCGGGAGCUUGCUCCCUUCGUUUAGCGGCGGACGGGUGAGUAACACGUGGGCAACCUGCCCUGCAGAUCGGGAUAACUCCGGGAAACCGGUGCUAAUACCGAAUAGUUUUUUGCCCCUCCUGGGGCGGAACGGAAAGACGGUUUCGGCUGUCACUGCAGGAUGGGCCCGCGGCGCAUUAGCUAGUUGGUGGGGUAACGGCCCACCAAGGCGACGAUGCGUAGCCGACCUGAGAGGGUGAUCGGCCACACUGGGACUGAGACACGGCCCAGACUCCUACGGGAGGCAGCAGUAGGGAA